CCUACGGGCGGCAGCAGUGAGGAAUAUUGGUCAAUGGACUGAAGUCUGAACCAGCCAUGCCGCGUGCAGGAAGACGGCUCUAUGAGUUGUAAACUUCUUUUGUACAAGGGUAAACCUGAAUACGUGUAUUCAGCUGAAAGUACUGUACGAAUAAGGAUCGGCUAACUCCGUGCCAGCAGCCGCGGUAAUACGGAGGAUCCAAGCGUUAUCCGGGUUUAUUGGGUUUAAAGGGUGCGUAGGGGGUUUUAUAAGUUAGAGGUGAAAUGUCCGAGCUUAACUCGGGAACUGCCUCUAAUACUGGUGAUCUAGAGAGUAGGUGCGGUAGGCGGAAUGUGUGGUGUAGCGGUGAAAUGCUUAGAGAUCAUACAGAACCCCGAUUGCGAAGGCAGCUUACCAAU
rnacentral:rRNA from 1 species